CCUACGGGAGGCUGCAGUGGGGAAUAUUGGACAAUGGGCGAAAGCCUGAUCCAGCCAUGCCGCGUGUGUGAAGAAGGCCUUCGGGUUGUAAAGCACUUUCAGUGGGGAAGAAAGCCUUGGGGCUAAUACCCUCGAGGAAGGACAUCACCCACAGAAGAAGCACCGGCUAACUCCGUGCCAGCAGCCGCGGUAAUACGGAGGGUGCGAGCGUUAAUCGGAAUUACUGGGCGUAAAGCGCGCGUAGGCGGUCUGAUAAGCCGGUUGUGAAAGCCCCGGGCUCAACCUGGGAACGGCAUCCGGAACUGUCAGGCUAGAGUGCAGGAGAGGAAGGUAGAAUUCCCGGUGUAGCGGUGAAAUGCGUAGAGAUCGGGAGGAAUACCAGUGGCGAAGGCGGCCUUCUGGACUGACACUGACGCUGAGGUGCGAAAGCGUGGGUAGCAAACAGGAUUAGAUACCUGGUAGUC
rnacentral:rRNA from 1 species